AGUGAACGCUGGCGGUAGGCCUAACACAUGCAAGUCGAACGGCAGCACAGUAAGAGCUUGCUCUUACGGGUGGCGAGUGGCGGACGGGUGAGGAGUACAUCGGAAUCUACUUUUUCGUGGGGGAUAACGUAGGGAAACUUACUCUAAUACCGCAUACGACCUACGGGUGAAAGCAGGGGAUCUUCUGACCUUGCGCGAUUGAAUGAGCCGAUGUCGGAUUAGCUAGUUGGCGGGGUAAAGGCCCACCAAGGCGACGAUCCGUAGCUGGUCUGAGAGGAUGAUCAGCCACACUGGAACUGAGACACGGUCCAGACUCCUACGGGAGGCAGCAGUGGGGAAUAUUGGACAAUGGGCGCAAGCCUGAUCCAGCCAUACCGCGUGGGUGAAGAAGGCCUUCGGGUUGUAAAGCCCUUUUGUUGGGAAAGAAAAGCAGCAGGUUAAUACCCCGCUGUUCUGACGGUACCCAAAGAAUAAGCACCGGCUAACUUCGUG
rnacentral:rRNA from 1 species